CUGGGGCUUCCGGCGCCGCAGGUCGGACCAGGCGCGGGGAGCGGCCUCUGCUGCGCGCGGCCGCCGCGGGGUCUCGGGGACCGACUGCGGCCGGGGCCCAGGAGUCUCCGCACUCGGGCCGCCGCCGGGGUCGGGCUUCCGGUUGUGGGGCGGCGAGGCUGUAGGGAGAGAAGAGGAGAGGCCGGGGAGGCCGUCAGGGCCCAGGAAGCAUGGCGGCACACUAGGGAAGGAGCCCCAACGGGGGAAGAUGCUGAGAGCCUCGAUGCCCUAUAGAUGGACUCUCCACAGACAAUGAUCGUUUCCUCUGGGGAAGCCAGCUGCUGUGUUGGGAGGACACUCAGGCAGUCUGUGAGAGGCCCACCGCAAGGAAGCAACUGAAGUCUUCAGCCAACAGUCAGUGAGAAGCUGAGGUCUGCCAACAGCUAGUAAGUUAGCCUGAAGGCAGAUCCUUUCCCAGUUGAGCCUCCAGAUAAGACUGCAGCCCCAGUGCAGAGCUUGACUGAAACCUCCCCCUGAGAGACCUGAACCACCCAGUAAACCACUCCCAGAUUCCUGGCCCAGAGAAAGUGUUGGGCUGGUUUGUUUCCAUUGUUGGAAACAAGAUGGAACUAGCAAAGGAGAUGGAGAAAUUGACUGGAGAACCGAGAAAAAAGACAUUUUUCUGGAAGCCUGGGAAAAGGGUGUGUUUCAAGAAGAAAGAACCGGAGGCUUCCCUGGUGGCACAGUGGUUAAGAAUCCGCCUGCCAAUGCAGGGCAUAUGGGUUCAAGCCCUGGUCCGGGAAGAUCCCACAUGCCGUGGAGCAACUAAGCCCGUGCGCCACAACUACUGAGCCUGCAACCUAGAGCCUGCGAGCCACAACUACUGAGCCCACGUGCCACAACUACUGAAGCCCGCAGGCCUAGAGCCCGUGUUCCACAACAAGAGAAGCCACCGCAAUGAGAAGCCCGCGCACCACAACGAAGAGUAGCCCCCGCUCACCGCAACUAGAGGAAGCCCGUGCGCAGCAACGAAGACCCAAUGCAGCCAAAAAUAAAUAAAUAAAUAAAAAAUAAAAAGAAUUUCAAACUUCAGGUCAAAGUCAAGCAAGAAAAGGACUGAAAGGUACUUCUUAAAUUUGCCAAUUAAGAGGUCCCUCUCCAGGAGGAGUGUGGCCAGCGACAGAGGAAUGAAGAGAACAUGGCAGGUGGAGGGAAGGAGACCCUGGGUACUCAGGAGCCGCCCUUGAGGCAACCUGAGUGCAUGGAGGGAGGUACCCAGGACUCAUGCCAGGUGCCCAGGACCAAGGGUGAGCUUUUAAGGACUGGAGAAUCUGUAGAAUGUUUGGGGCUCAAAGGAAAGAGCCAGUAGAGGCAAACGAAAGACAUAGUCAAGGGGGGGAAUUAACAGGCUUCCACCUUCUGAGUGUCUACUAAGUGUCAGACAAGUUUCCUGAGGAGAAAGGGGUUCAAAGCAAAAUCAGAGGGAGGGACUGGCCUGGGACUGGCCUGGGACUGGAGAAGAGACAUCUCUUCAUGUGAGACAGAAGAGGGAAAACACGGGGGAGAUGAUGGAGGUGAGGGAAGAGGAAAAUGUGGAAUUUGCAUGGAAUGACUUGAAUGUGGGGUGUUCAGUAGGCAUUGACUUCAGCCAAAUGAACUAUGGUGAAUGAGUCACAAAACAUCUGCCAGAGAGAAGGAGCUGGGCUGAGAGGAGAGGCUGAAGGAGAGAAAUGAGGUGGGAGGGUCAGGUGAGCUUGCUGGAGGCCCAGAGGGCAGUCAGAAGCCCAGAGACGGGAGGACCUGUGAGGAGUUUGUCCUGCCCAGUCCUCAGGCUGAGUAUUGUGUAUGAGAGCAAUCUUGCCUUUGGACCACGGAGACAUUGUCACUGUCCGUUGUCCCCAGAUGCUGCCUACAGGUAGGAGUCAGGAGACAAUGCAGCUCCGAUUUUUUGAGCACCUAACUGUAGCAAGGACCUAAUGUGGCGGUCAGCGCUGAGGUACCAAGAAUGCAGCUGGAAAUUGUGUCCUGGUCUUAUUU